CCCUUGCGGCACAGCCAUACAACAUAUAUGAAGAAGGGGUAACGUCUAUGGUCGUAACGCUUUGUAUUUUGUCAUUCCUUUUGAAUAUUCUACCUCUUUCUUAAGAAGAUGUGUGACACCACAAACCGGAGUUUUCGGACGCAGUUAGCCGGUAUCUUGGAAAGCUAUCGAAGGCAGCUUUGGUUGAAAUAAGCAACCUGGCUGACGAAUGCUCCUCCGUCCUUCACACCGAGAUCUCCCUUCAUAAGACGGAGAAUGAGGCGCUGAAGAAGAGGUGUUAUUCGCUGGAGGUCCAGCUGAGAGCAGCGAGGGAGGCACAGACCUAUCCUGUAAAUGUCAACAGUGUCAGCCGCCGACACCCCACAGGACAUCUGCCUCACUCCCCUUCUAUUGAUGGUGUGUUUGGAAAGGACUGGUGCAUGGAUCUGUGGAGAGAAGACCAUAAACUUCCCCCUCAAAGGAAAGAGACGCUUGAGCCUGCUGCCAUGACUAGUAUGGGACCACAGACCAUAGACUUAAUGGAGAGGGAUCCUGAUCUCAUCUUUGUUAAGGAGGAAUUGUAUGAUGAUCACCCUAUUGGUCAACAGAUGAGGCUCACAGACAACAGAAAGAUUGUUGGACUCUUCGAGGAGGACAGCAUGCUUCAUAGAGCUGUUGAUGAGCUGCAGCUCCAUGCCGUGGAAUUAAUAGCUUCCCCAUGACAGCUGACUGUCAAACACAAGGCACACAGCCAACAAUUAUGGACAAAUUAAUAGAUGAUGCCACAAUGAGUAGUCUGGUGGACAACACAAAUCAUCAGGCAGUUCCUGGGUGCGAAUACUCAGACUAUGCAAACAAUAUCCACAUGAACGCAACCAAAGAACUUAUUAUGCAGCCAAAACCUGUGAAGCCACCGAAACGGUUGAAUGCUUAUUCUGCGGGAAAAUAUUCAACUAUUUGAGCAGUUAAAGGUCCACAUCAGGCGACACUCUGGUGAGAAGCCUUUCAGCUGCUCAGUUGUGGGAGGCGCUUUGCACAGAAAACAUACUUGAAACUGCACCAGCGCGUACAUUCUGGGGAAAAGCCUUACAGCUGUCCGGACUGUGGAAAAAGUUUUUCCCAGAAAAGCUCUCUUAACAUACAUCUUCGAACACACACUGGUGAAAAGCCUUAUAGCUGUGUGGAUUGUGGGAAAUGUUAUGCAUACAAGUAUGGCUUGAACCACCAUCAGUGUUUUAAUUGAGUGAUAACACCGAGUGGUUUUGGAGGGAUAUCUGAUUAGAAUUCAUACUGGGUAACAAACGUACUCUCAGUAUUGCUCAGUAUGGCUUAGCAUGUGCCAAAAUAUGAGACUCAUAUGUGGAUGAGACAUGAAUAAUUACAUUUUGCAAUCUCUAUCAAAGAAAAUAAAUGAUCUAGCCUGUGAGGUUAACAGUGAUGUUGUUAAACCUUAGAUUUUCGGUAUGUUUCAAGCUGAAAUGAUAAAGUGAAGAAGCUUCACAACAGUACAGGAAGUAUAUGUCUUUUCUAAUGUACCAUUGGAAUGGGUGGAUUCAGUUAUUUUAUUGGUGAGUUCAUUGCCAAAUUUCUGAAGAAAUCAGCAAUCUGUUAUUUUCACAUGAAUAGUAAUAGUCAUAUGAAAGAUGAAUCAUUUGCAGUUGGUAUUUAAAAUGAGGUGCUCAUUAAUACUUAGCCAAAACAAUCACCUCCAUUCAAAGCAUGUUGUCAUGUGAUCAGUGUAACAUCUUAAACAUACCUCAGUGUCAUAUUUCAAAUCACAGAAGUCUUCUGUGAAAUAAUGCCAAAAGAUUUACUUUGGAAAAUAGCUCCAUUGUUUUGUACACAUGUAGCAUAAACCUUCAGAACUACCUCUGCUUAACUGUAUAGAAGUAAACAACUCGCUCUGGUUGCUUCAUUGCCAAAAUCUCACUCGCUGCUUUUUGUAUUUUUCCAUAGUAAUACCUCAGUACAGAACGUUAGUUGGCUUAUUUCUUUGAAAAACUGUGGAAGACAGAUGUUAAUGUGUGGGUCACAUAAUAUUCACGGGAGUUCCAGAAGUGAUUCAGGUUUAAAUGUUUACCUGUUUUAAACUGUAUUUGUAAGGCUAGUAUUGAGCACACAAUGUUGUCAGAGUGCUGUCAGACCAAUUUCAUGUUUAUCAAAAUGUUAACCCUUUCUGUUCAACAUAUUACCUUUUUUAUUCUUUACUGAACUGUUCUGACACCUAAUCAGAGCACUGACAUGUACUGAACACAGUUUUAAACUUGUUAUAAUAUAAUUCUCCUGAACCAACUGGUUGGACCUGAUUGAGUGAAUUAUCCCUGCCAAAGAAAGAAAUCUAGUGCUGUGGUUACCUCCCUUCUUUGCAUCACACGUUUGCCCAUUACAAACUACCAUUAGAUUUGAAAAUUUCAAAUUAUCAAUUUACUGGGACUCAACUGAUUUAUUAGGUUCAGGGCAACUUUAGUUUGUAUUACCCUAAAACUAUUCAUAUAAAAUGAGUUCUAUCAAAUAAAGUUGUACAAACACUA